UUGAACUCCGGUGGAGAAACGAAGACGGAAGCAUCCCGAUCACGUGUGGUUUAACUAAAUAAACAAAAUAUAACAAUGACUAGCCUGCAGUCGUGUAUGAAAACAAAGUGAAUAAGUCAGUAUAUGUCAUACAAGGUGGAGGAGCCAGACCAGGUGUACCUGCUAAUGAAGGAGGAAUACCGUAUCUCACGCAACGUACGUCUGGCCUGGUUCCUGGGCAAGCUCAAUCGGGUCAUCUGGCCGGUCCCAAAGUCUGAACUGUUUGAUGGGCCAAUCCCUUGCCCUGGGUUCGGCAGUGACAUGAUCAUGGAGGAGGUGCCUGUGAGGAAACAUGGCGUUUCCAUGGUGACUGCAGACGUAGGGCUGGUCAGCAUGGUGUGACAGUGCAUCCUAGCUCUACAGCUGUUGCCCCCCAACUCCAUUGCAGGUGUAAUCGUAAUUACAGAUGGGGUGACCAGUGUGCCUGACGUGGCUGUGUGUGAGACCCUUCUGAACCAGCUUAGGAGUGGAACCAUCACCUGCUCCUUCAUUCAGGUGGGCGGGGCCUACUCAUACGACUUGUAGUUUUGGGUACAUCCCUAACGUUGAGCUGAUGAAGUUCAUCUCCUUGGCGACCUUUGGCUCCUACCUGUCUAGCUGUCCUGAGCCUGACCUGGCCAGUCAGAACAUGAACACCUACCACAAGGCCUUCCUCACAUACUCUUUCCUCAAGACCAGCGAGUCCAUGAACCCUGAGUACUACUGUGUGUCUCAGCACAAGCUGUUCAAUGAGCACCUGGUGUCAGCCCUUGGGAACCCCGCAUUAGUGAUGAGGAGGAAGAAGCACACAGAGAAGGAGGUGCACGCCCACCUGGUCAAUGUGGUGUCGGUCAGACUGAGAGAGGGAUACACCAUCAGGGAGAUCAACCUUACC